UACAGAGGGUGCGAGCGUUAAUCGGAAUUACUGGGCGUAAAGCGCACGUAGGCGGCUUGGUAUGUCGGGUGUGAAAUCCCCGGGCUCAACCUGGGAACUGCAUCCGAAACUGCCUUGCUCGAGUAUGGGAGAGGGAAGUGGAAUUUCCGGUGUAGCGGUGAAAUGCGUAGAUAUCGGAAGGAACAUCAGUGGCGAAGGCGACUUCCUGGACCAAUACUGACGCUCAGGUGCGAAAGCGUGGGGAGCAAACAGGAUUAGAUACCCUGGUAGUCCACGCCCUAAACGAUGAGAACUGGAUGUCGGGAGGGUCUGCCUUCCGGUGUCGUAGCUAACGCGUUAAGUUCUCCGCCUGGGAAGUACGGCCGCAAGGUUGAA
rnacentral:rRNA from 1 species